GAAGGCUCUGAGGCUGGUGGAUGGUUGUGAUCCUCAGCAGGCUCUUUGACUGGUGCAGGUGACGCAAAAGGCUGCGUUGCUGGUGGAUGUCCGUGAUACGCAGCUGGACUGGUGCAGGUCACUCGAAAGGCUACGUUGCUGGGCCUUGGCCAACAUUUUCUGUAUGGUUAUUUGACAGCAGAUGUACAUUUACAAUAAAAGUCUACAUGCUGUUGUUACACAGGUAAAA